GGCGGAUGUAGCCAAGUGGAUCAAGGCAGUGGAUUGUGAAUCCACCAUGCGCGGGUUCAAUUCC
rnacentral:tRNA from 5 species